rnacentral:rRNA from 1 species
AGAGUUUGAUCAUGGCUCAGGAUGAACGCUAGCGGCAGGCUUAACACAUGCAAGUCGAGGGGCAUCGCGGGGUAGCAAUACUCUGGCGGCGACCGGCGGAAGGGUGCGUAACGCGUGAGCAACUUGCCCGUCACUGGGGGAUAGGCACUGGAAACGGUGUGUAAUACUCCAUAACAUAUGGAUUCACAUGGAUUUAUAUUGAAAGA